ensembl:lincRNA
GCAGUGGAGGAGGGGCUCCCUGCGAAGGUCCACGCGGACGGGGAGCCCAAGGCCGGGGUUAGGCGCCGGCGGAAGGGGGUUGGGAGGCACUGGGUUCCCGAGGCCCGGGCCAGCGUCCUGAGGGGCAUUCAGGAUCCUUGGCAGGGCCCUCCUGUCCAAGAGGUCCCUGCAGACGGCAUGAAAGGGCCCCCCUUCGGCAGGGCCACCAAGCCCCUGGAGAGCAGGCCUCUGGGGGACACCCUUCGGGGCUUCUGCACGUCCGAGGACAGUGACAUCAACAUCACCAGCGGGGAAGAGGAUCACAAGGAGUCGCCUUUCCCAGGCUCCUGCAACCCCAAAGAGAAGGAGAACAGUGGCCGUGGCACCCGGGCCCUCCCGGACAGCCGGGCGGCACCACCAGAGGGCCUUUGCUGCUACAUCUGCGGGUCCCCGCUGUCCCCGGCCUCGCACCACCAGGUCCACGUGCAGAAGCAGGAGAAGCUGGCGCAGGCCCCGUUCUUCCCCUUCCUGUGGCUGCACAGCCCGCCCCCAGGGGCACAGCCCAUCAGCGAGGGCGGCAGCACCCUGGUGUGCGCCAGCUGCUUCUCCUCCCUCACGCAGCAGUGGCAGAGCUUCGAGCUGGCCAACGUGCCGGUCCUGCAGCGACUCUACGUGGUGCCCCUGGAAAGCCACGCCCCCGGCAUGGCCUCCAAGGGCAGGAGACUCCCCAGGGAAGAGGGCCUGCCCCCUGGGGCCCUGCGAGAGGCUUGCUACCUCUGCGGGGAGGACUGUACCCCGGAUGCCCGGGCGGUGCCCUCCAGGAUCCUCAACGGCAACGCCAGGAGCGCCAUGCAUUUCCCCUUCCUCAGCCUCCUGCCCUGCCCGCCCAACGCCCAGGGCCCCAACAAGCGCUGCGAGGUCCGCAGCUGCCCCAAGUGCUUCAGCGUCCUGGAGGACGUCUGGGCCCUGUACCGGGCCUGCCAGAAGGAGGAGCUCAUCACCUCCGUGCAGGGCUUCCUGGGCAGGUACCACCAGGCCUUCUCCGCCUCCGACCCUGCCCUCUCCGAGCUGCCCACAUCAGCCCAGGGAGGCCCCGUGUCCAUCUGCUACAUCUGUGGGGCUGAGCUGGGCCCCGGGAAGGAGUUCCAGCUCAACGUGAACCCUGCCAGUCGCCUGGGCGAGAAGGAGCCGUUCUUCCCCUUCCUCACCGUGUAUCCGCCCGCCCCUCGUGCCAGGCCUGUGGACUCCACCGGGCUGGUGGCCACCUGUGUGCUCUGCUACCAUGACCUGCUGGCCCAGUGGCUGCAGCACGAGGCCCGCAGCGCCCAUCACGCUGUCAGCGCCUGGUCCCGGCAGUACCACGUAGAGACAUUCGUGUGCUUCUUUUGUCAGCAGGAGAAGAAACGGUGUCUGGGGCUGAAGUCUGUGCGGGUGGCCCGGCUGCCCCUGUUCCUAUACACCCUUCGAGCAAGCCACAGCCUGCUGGUGGAUGACGGACAGCAGCUGAUCAUCGGCGCUUGUAUGGAGUGUGGGACCCUGGUGUGUGCGGGCCAAGGGCUCACCCGCCAGGGACCCGUGAGCUGGAGCUCCCCGGUGGCAACAGCAACGAAGAGGUGCGUUGGCUUAGCUGCGAAAAGAGACACAUUCGUUCUCCGAGAAGCCUGCUCCGCUGACGGCUGGGUGAUGUGCCGUUUUUCUCCUGUUGGACGCGCCGUGGGCCGGAACACCGACUUUGUGCUUCCUCCUUUUUUUUUCUCUCUGAAGUCUAAGUUUGGGAGCUCAGGAUCCAAAAACGAUGACACUGGGACAUUCCAUUCGGAAGGCACGCUUUGUCCACUCGGCCACUUGCAGUGGGGAAUGGUUUUGAGCAGGGGUGUGAUGUGACCGGCAGACCCCUGUGUGGAGACCGAGGUGGCUUCCGGAGGCUGGUGGCUGGGAGAGCAGGGAGGAGGCUGCUGCAGUGGUCUGAGCACCAGUGACGGGACGGCGUGGAUGGCCACUGUGGGAUACAGAGGACAAGGGGCACAUGCGAGACUCCUAGGCCGGAAGAUGAUGCGGCCACCAGCCCCUGCCUGUCUUUGCUCUCUUCUCUUUCUGCCAUAAAUAAAAAUAGCUGUGGGCUGUCACCUUGCCUUCUGCCUUUGUCUGUCAUCCCUCCCUCUGCGUGCUGAGGAUAAUUCUGACUUUUCCUUCACCUGCUCGCUGACACCUUGUCACUCUCUCCUCCCACCUUCAAAUAUGCUCGGAUCCCGUUUUUAUCAUGUAACACACGGGUUUGUCCUUGGGACCCAGUUUCCUAUCUUUCCACCAGGGAUCUUGAGUUUCCUCGGGACGGAGACCUUGUACAACUCUGGACGUUUUCCCAUCUCCCAUGUCAGACGGGCUGUGCCAACCACACCUUUGAUCGAGUAAUCACAGGGAGAAUGAUUAAUGUCUGUGGAGCGUCUUCCUGAGGGCUUGGGUCUCGGUGGCUGCCGGUACCCUCCAUUUCCUUGAAGAAACGAGGAAGCUUUGCCCGGAGAGGUCACGUGGUUCCCCCGUCACACAGCUGGUACGCAGUGGAGGCAGAGCCUGAACUCAGAGCCCUGUUCUCUAAAUCCCGACCUGUCUGCCCUGGGCAGGUGUUUCCAGGUGUGGGCUGAACCAGAUGACGUGUUUCAAGGGGCCCGGCUGACACAGCGUUCACUGACAGCGAAUCACCCAAGAGGAUGAUUCUUCUCGUCCCACGUUUAGUCAUAUUGCAAGGGGACAUCUCAAGCUAGUAGGUCAGACAAACCUCAACAUUUUUUAUUGCGAUGAGAUGUAUGGAAAAUUAACCAUUUAAACUAUUUUGAAGUGUACAGUUACACAGUCCCUGUCCCAGGGACUCUCUUCCCCAGCCUCAACUGCCUUCUGGAAUCUGGCAAAUGUCUCCACCGUCUGUCACCAGAACCUCGUCUUCUUCUCACACUGAGCUUCUGACCCCAGUAGACGCGAAACCCCCUUCCGCAGCCCUGGCCUCUCUCUGCUUUCUGUCUCUGUGAGUUGGUCCAGUCCGGAGACGAACCGACCCUGCUGACGGGCUCAGAGCCUGGAGCAGGCCAGUGCCGAGAAUGGAACGAAGCAGUAUUGGUUUUGUUUUCAUUGUGUGGCUCCAUAACCCCUUAUCUUAAAACCCUUGAGAUUAGCGUGUUUCUUUUUUUCUUUUUUCCUUUUCUUGGAGACAGAAUCUCCCUCUGUUGCCCAGGCUGGAGUGCAGUGGCGCAGUCCUAGCUCACUGCAGUCUUGACCUCCCCGUCUUAAGUGAUCCUCCCACCUUAGCCUCCUGCGUAGCUGAGGCCACAGGCGUGUGCCCCCGCACCCGGCUGUUUUGCUUUUUUUUAAAAGCCAUGGCCUCCCUAUGUUGCCCAGGCUGGGUUUGAACUCCUGGGCUCAGAUGAUCCUUGCCGCUCUGUUUCUCUUUUUUUUUUUUGACUUCAGAAAGUGAACAUGAU